GGCAGGGCGGUAGUACCUACCCGUGCGGACUCAGAAGAGGUCUUACCACCAUAUCUGGUCGGUCCAACGUCUCGGGCCUCUACCUCGUGG